rnacentral:rRNA from 1 species
UACGUAGGGGGCAAGCGUUGUCCGGAUUUAUUGGGCGUAAAGAGCGUGUAGGCGGCCAGACAAGUCUGCUGUGAAAACUCGAGGCUCAAACCUCGAGCUGUCGGUGGAAACUGUCUGGCUAGAGUCCGGAAGAGGAGAGUGGAAUUCCUGGUGUGAGCGGUGAAAUGCGCAGAUAUCAGGAAGAACACCUAUGGCGAAGGCAGCUCUCUGGGACGGUACUGACGCUGAGACGCGAAAGCGUGGGGAGCGAACAGG